GUCUAACUCUGAAAUAUAUCAACAAUAUGUUCCGAAAUUGGACGAAUUAAAAAGUGUCUAUAUUAAUCUUUAUAUGAUACUGUUUGUGUUCUUAGUGGUUUGUUUAGUUAUCAUUCCAAUAAUAUGCACCCAACAAAGCCUUUAAGGUGGUACCUUACACUACAGGGAGAUAACUCUAUAAAAUCAGCUAAACGUUUUAAUUAUGAUGUGUUUUUAAGGGAAUAUUAAGCCUCUCAAUGAUCA
rnacentral:lncRNA from 1 species